AUUAUUUUUUUUAAAAGGCAUUAAUAACUAAUAAUAUAAAUAAAGUCUCUAAUAGAAUAAGAGAAAAAGAGGGUGUAAAAUUCUAAGUUAAAUAAUAAGACUUAGGAAGCCUUUCUUAUGCCUCCACAGACAUUUCCUCAUUACUUGAUGCAGAGACUGAUGCUCUCCAGCACAGGGGCUGGUUUUACCCUGUGUUCUGUGUGUUGGAAUAGCAUCCCCAUGGCUUAGCUAAUCACAACAAUACCCAAGCCAAUGGCAGGUCCUACUCCUCCAUUAGAUCUGACACUUUCAGACUGCUCCUCUUCCCCUUUGCCUCUAUUGUUUUCUUCAUAUACAUCAUUGUUAAACCUUUCUUGAACAUGCAGUUGUCCUUGUAAUCUGAAUUGUAUGUUGAUUUCAUGUUUGUUGACAUGUUUGCUGAGCAGUUGAAUGAGCUUUUGGACAAAUAUUAAAUAAAUGGUCACUUUUUAACACAAUUUUAAUGGUGUCAAUCAUUUUAAAUUUUAAGCUACUAAGAAAGAAGGGUGCACAAAUUGAAACACGAUGUGCAGGGCAGUGAUUCUUUCUAACUCUUAAUGCUGUCAUGAUAAUAAGCAUAUCUUGCUUUCCAUAUUUUUAUUUCCAGAUUUGUAAAAGAAGCCCUCGUAAUUUUCACAUAUGGGAUCUAUGGCACCUACUACCCUCAUGUCUGUCUCUCAGCCCCUUUGCUUUUUCUUUUUUUGUCAUAAUGCAGCAGGAGUUAACAGCUUAGGGGAUGGAAACAGGUCUGAAAGUCUCCAGGAAGAUAAUGCUUGGGAAGACAGGUUUAAACUAAAUAAGAAAGCAGAUUUCAUCGGCCUUCUUGGAAACAAACUGACCAGACUUGUGAUCUGUUUCUAAAUUUGGCCUUUGCAUUUUCCACAUGCAGGAAGUGACAAAAACAGUGGCAGUAAUCCUUGGUGAGUUUGGACACGCACAUCAAGGGCCAAAAGCCUUUGUCUGCUAUAGGCCCAAGUUUUGGAAACCGAAGACUUUUGCAACAGAUUUGAAUGUGCUGCAGGGGCACAAAUAUAAACACAGCUUUUAUACUGAUUUUCUGUUUCCUAAAAUGCACCAUUUCUGGAUGAUGUUAAAAGAGCCUGAAUAGAAAAAAAAAAAAAAAAAAAAGCUAACCUAAAGCGUUGAGCACAUUAGUUUGUGGCAAGCCAAGUUCCAACUGAUGAAAAUAAAAGAUGCUGUGAACAUAUGAUAAAACUCCUA
rnacentral:lncRNA from 1 species